UUAAGUUCAGCGGGUAGUCCUACCUGAUUUGAGGCCAGAUCAUAAAAGUUCAAGUCCCUGGAGUGGGAACAAUGAGAGUUAGAAAGCAGACGUUUGUCAAGAGUCCUGGCCACCCCAAUAAAGGGAUGUCCUCAGCGAAAUACUUAUUACGCCAAGUAGAACCAAGUCUCACGACAUGUCCAGCUAAUCCAUUUAAGGUG
rnacentral:misc_RNA from 1 species